rnacentral:rRNA from 1 species
GUGGGGAAUUUUGGACAAUGGGCGCAAGCCUGAUCCAGCAAUGCCGCGUGCAGGAAGAAGGCCUUCGGGUUGUAAACUGCUUUUGUACGGAACGAAACGGUCCUGGUUAAUACCAGGGGCUAAUGACGGUACCGUAAGAAUAAGCACCGGCUAACUACGUGCCAGCAGCCGCGGUAAUACGUAGGGUGCGAGCGUUAAUCGGAAUUACUGGGCGUAAAGCGUGCGCAGGCGGUGCUGUAAGACAGGCGUGAAAUCCCCGGGCUCAACCUGGGAAUUGCGCUUGUGACUGCAAGGCUGGAGUGCGGCAGAGGGGGAUGGAAUUCCGCGUGUAGCAGUGAAAUGCGUAGAUAUGCGGAGGAACACCGAUGGCGAAGGCAAUCCCCUGGGCCUGCACUGACGCUCAUGCACGAAAGCGUGGGGAGCAAACAGGAUUAGAAACCCGAGUAGUCC